rnacentral:lncRNA from 1 species
UUUGUAUAAAAUCGGUACAUAACAUUCAAAAAAACAAGGCCACAAUUAGGUUCUACUGUAAACAAUAUAUUUUGUUUCUCUGUCUGUACAUAAGCAGUAAUUAAACAGAUAAUUAAGCAUAUGAUCUUUUCUCUAUCUGUUCAUAAGAAACAAAAUAAAACAGAUAAUUAAGCAUAUGAUUUUUUAAGCCUAUGAUUUUUUCUUGUAUAUCUGAUUAACUUGUACAUUAUAAGCAAGUACUUUGUCUCUUUCGUCGUUUACUACAAUGGUCUAGCAUUUCCAAUGAUAAAAGAACUUAAACAGUAUCUGUAACAAUCUACUAUAAAGUAAAUCUAUUCAAAUAUUAUAUUAAACAAUAUAAUAACAGAAAUACAAUAAUAAUUUACAAAUUUUGAAAUAUUAUUUAUUUCUAUUUUCUAUAAUUAUACAAUUUUAUUACUAAUUAAUUUUUCCAUUUUUUUUAAAUCAUAAAUUUUUAAUCGUAAUAUUAUUAUAUUCUUUUAUAUAUCUAGAAAUUUAAAAAUCUUGUUUAGUUAUACUUUUUGAUAAUUAUACAAUUUUUAUAUCAAAAUUUUUAAUUAGUUUUAUUCAAAUUUAUUUAAUAUAUAAUUUAUUCUAAAAUAUAAAUUUAAAGUAGUAUUGGAAAAUGCAUUACAUGACAAUCGAGACUUUUCAAGCCAAUAAACUUUCCUUCAUUUCUAUCGACGCAGUUGCGCAAAUUAAAC